rnacentral:rRNA from 1 species
GACGGGGGAUGCAAGCGUUACCCGGAAUCACUGGGCGUAAAGCGUCUGUAGGUGGUGAUGCAAGUAACUGGUGAAAAACUCUGGCUCAACCGGAGGAAAGCCAGUGAAACUGCAUGACUAGAGUGUGGGAGAGGUAGAAGGAAUUCCCUGAGUAGCGGUGAAAUGCGUAGAUACAGGGAAGAACACCGGAGGCGAAAGCGUUCUACUGGAACACAACUGACACUGAGUGACGAAAUCUAGGGGAGCGAAUUGG